rnacentral:hammerhead_ribozyme from 1 species
GUACUGCUGGAGAGUCCCAAACUAGGACGAAACAGUUGUCCAGCAC